rnacentral:lncRNA from 1 species
CCUCCUCUCUUCUUUCGACUCGGUAUGCUCUCCAUCUUCCGAUUCAACCUCUGUCGCCUUCCCUCCUUUUCUUCUUCCAAUUCAGUCUGCAUAGAAAAAUAGCUCCAUAGGUGACAUGAUUUCUCCUUCUCCGAUGAAAAACAGAAACCGCGUCUCCUAUCGGACCUCAGAAAAAAUUACUCCAGCGAACUUACUAAAUUCGACGUCUUCACCACCCACCUGAUGGAUGAGAGGAGGUGACUUCUCCUUCGCCGAAGAAAAUAUCAAAAACGUCGACGACGACUCCUCUGGGCAAAUAAAAGGUCUGAAAAAUGGCCAAUAAUGGCUUCUACUUCCCCUCUCCUUGCUUUGUUGGUGUUCUUUAUUGUAAUUAGCGGUUUUUUUAUUGAUAGAUGAUAUUUGAACCGAAGAAAUCAACCAUUUCUCCAACAAAAAAAUUGCAGUAGAUGAUGUGAUUAAUUACCUGCAUAAUUUACUUUCUCUAUUUAGAUAGAAAUUAAUAGUCUUAAUUCAAGAUCACACAUUUUGAGUUGUUGGUGUAAUUGAUUACCUGCAUAAUUUACUUUCUCUAUUUAAUAUUUCUGCCGCUCUCUCUAUCAUUUAUAUUUUCGCCAAGCCCACACCUUUCUCUAUUUUUUCUGCAACAGCCAGAUCCGAGGAAAGAACGAAAUACAGGUAUAUAUUAGUAUUAGUUUUUCUUAUGUGUCUAUUGUAGUUGAUUUUCUGAAUUUAUACUAAUCUUGGUAUAAUUUUUUUUCAGUGACCUGUUCUUUGAAUUUUAAACAUCUACUAAGGAAGUUAUUAUAACUGUUCAACAAGCUUUCAAUCUUGAGCAUACAAUGAAAAAAUUGGGUUCGUUUGGUCUUCCUGCUUUAUGUAUAGGUCAGAGUCUAUACAGAAAAAUAAUCUACAAGAUAAGAAUCAGAUCAAUAUAUACACUAUAUUUUGAUACCAAUUUUUUUCACUCAUUUUCAUUUAAUUUGUUUUUAUUACUUUUUCUCAUAUGUUUAUUUUCAGUUUUCGCAGAAUUUGGGAUGAACUGGGAGAAGAACUGGAGAGAUCUCCGAAUAUCUAUUGAUAGGUAAAAAUUUUAUUUUUAUCUUUUUUAAAAUGUUAUUUGCUCUUAUUUCCUGUAUAUGCCUUUUUGAUCCAAAACUUUUCAAGUGCUUUAUUUUACUGUAGCUUGCAGUGUUGACUCACUUCUGUAUGAUUUUUAUUUGUGGUGCAGGAAGAGUCUAUAUCCUUGAUAUGUACAAUCGAGCUAUAUAUAUCCAUUGGUAAGUUAUCUAAUGAUAUAUUCAUUAUAAACCUCCUUCUUGGCUAUGAAAUUUUGAAGAGAAAAAGAUAAUACAGAAAAGAUAUCUUCAGUAGAUAGUCAUUUCUUUUUUGGUUCCUUUAUGUUUUUGUUGUAUAAAUUCAUCUAAGGUUUUUGAACAUCAAUGCUAUAUGAGGGAAACAUCACCUGCUUUUAUGAAUACGAUUAACGAUUAUUUUCUUUACGUGACUGACAAACAUGGUUUUCGUACCUCAAUAUCGCAUGAAUUGUUGUCAUUUCCCCCCAUGAAUUGAUUGCUAAUAUGUGUUUGUAUCCCAAUUUUGAGUUUUGUUGAGUUUUAAUUCCUUGGUGUAGUUUUGGAGUGAUUUCAGGGAAAAUCAAGAAUUAAUUGGAGGAUUUUGAAGACAUGAGAUCGAAGUACGUCUCGAGAGGAAUCCGUGAGCGCAAACGGCGACCAAAUCCGAGUCCGGACGAGGGAGAACGGAGCAAAACGAGCGGACUGUGCAAAACGCCCAGUACCCCGCGGUCACCACCCGCGGCCGCGGGGUAAGACCGCGGGUCAGCUGUUCCCGAAUCAGGAGACACCCGCGGUCACCAACCGCGGCCGCGGGGCGGGACCGCGGGUCCCCUGAGCAUCCCCCACGUUUGAAGGCCGCGGACGCGGGCCGUGACCGCGGGAAAAGGGCGGGGCUCCCCCAAAUGGACCCCAAACGCGAUUUUAGCCUCAAAACUCCAUUUUUCUCUUCCUUUCCCCAUUCAUUCACCACACACACCCACUUCAUCUUCCCCAACUCUCCAAUCCCAAACCCUAGCCUCCAUUCUCUACCAUUUUUUCUCUCUUCCACACACAAAAACAACACCAAAAUCAAAUAAAGAAGGGGAAGACUUGGAAAGGAGCUCAUCAAGACUACAUGAUUGAAGAUCAAGAUUAUAGGAUUUGUCUAUGAAUCUCUAUCUCUCUAUAUCUUUAUUUAUGUUUUCUUAUGACUUGAGAUUUGCUUUUAUUAUGAAUAUGCUUGGCUAAAAUCUCUUAUCUUAGGGAUUAGAUUAGAUGGAUUUGUAAUGAAUUGAUUUCUUUGUUCAAUAUAUAUCUUGAUUGUGCUUAUUGUUAUCUUUUCAAGUCCUAGAUUUAUCUCUUGUAUGAUUGGUUGGCCACCUUUUGUGCAUUUCUAAUUUGUGAUUUGAAUCGGGAGAGGAUAAUUACAAUAGAUUAGGAGUUUGAUACAUAUCAUCUCAAUAAACCGGGAGGUUGAGAGUUGGGUGAGGGCUUGUUGAUCUUUUGUGCUCUUGGGAGUUAUAGGUUAGAAAUUGACCGGGGACGGCAAUUAUGACCCGUAAUCUACUGUUUUAGUCGUCCGGGAGGGGGCUAAAACUAGUGGGGAGAUCGCCCUAGAUAAGUAGGCCAUAUCAAGAUUUAUAUUGAUUUAGAUUGAAGUUCAUUACGAUCCAUCGAAAUCUAGUCCCUAGGAUAACUUUCAUUCAAGUCAUUCCCCAAUUUAUUCACUAAGUUUAUGUUAUUGUUAUUUACUUUUCUUGCUUUAUUUAGUUUUGUUUUAGUUAUCAAUACCUCUUGAACUUUGGUUGUCUAAAUAGAUUGAAAACAACUUAUUAAUAAUAUUUAGAAGUUUAAAUUCACCAAUCCUUGUGGAAUACGACCUUGCUUCCCUUAUAUUGCAACUACACCGUACACUUGCGGCGUGGUGAAAAUAAUAGACAUCACCUGCUUUUAUGAAUACGAUUAACGAUUAUUUUCUUUACGUGACGGAUUAUGAAGGCAGAAGAUAUAUCACUAGGCCCAAUGAUUCUAAUGUAUUGGUGAGCCUUGCUUGUGGUAGUCUUUCUGGAAUUGCAUCAUCAACAGUUGGGCAGCUUAUAAUGGUUAUCGAGUUAUAUAUUACAACUUGAAGCAUUUCUAUUUUAUUAGUUGAGUUGAAGGUUGCCUUCAUUUUCCACAUUUAGUCUUGAUAUUUGUCUUCUUGAACUGUUAACUCAUCCUUUGUGGAGUGUCGUGUUUUCAAGUAAAGUUUGAUACACAAUCGUGGUUUUAAUUUGCAGAUUUUGUAAUUUGUUGGAAUUGGAAUCAAAUAAUCAGCUCAUAACUCAAUAAAGAAGGGAUUAAGAGCUGCAGUCUGCAGAUCGUUUUUGGGGAUUGCAAUACUAAGAAAGAGGUUGGAUUUAUAUUCAUG